rnacentral:rRNA from 2 species
GUGCGAGACCGAUAGCGAACAAGUACCGUGAGGGAAAGAUGAAAAGAACUUUGAAAAGAGAGUUAAAGAGUACCUGAAACUGCUGAAAGGGAACCGAAUCGUUUCCAGUGUCUAUAAUCUAUGGCAUAUUUCAUUGGCGUGUGGGUGUGUACAGCGUUUUGGAAGUAGUUUCUGCUCCUGUCGUUGUUUUGCGCUCGCCUGCUGGUGCCCUGUGCUGUAGUGGGACGUCAGAGUCAGUUUGCAUGCUGCGGGAAAUGGUUACUGGGGAGGUAGGUCACUUCGGUGGCUGUUAUAUCCUGGUGACUAGUCGUCGUGGUUGAGACUGAGGUGCCUACAAUGUGCUUUCGAGUCUAUGGGCCUCUCGUUUGGCUGUUUGCUUUGAUAGCUUGCUAUGUUAGUGAACGUGUCGGGCGAUUGAGACCUGUAGUAACUUGUUGCUGUUCGGGACUUUGAA